UUUAAAGGGUCCGUAGGCGGACAAUUAAGUCAGAGGUGAAAGUCUGCAGCUCAACUGUAGAAUUGCCUUUGAUACUGGUUGUCUUGAAUUAUUGUGAAGUGGUUAGAAUAAGUAGUGUAGCGGUGAAAUGCAUAGAUAUUACUUAGAAUACCAAUUGCGAAGGCAGAUCACUAACAAUAUAUUGACGCUGAGGGACGAAAGCGUGGGGAGCGAACAGGAUUAGAUACCCUGGUAGUCCACGCCGUAAACGAUGGAUACUAGCUGUUCGAUUCUCGGAUUGAGUGGCUAAGCGAAAGUGAUAAGUAUCCCACCUGGGGAGUACGUUCGCAAGAAUGAAACUCAAAGGAAUUGACGGGG
rnacentral:rRNA from 1 species